UACGGGAGGCAGCAGUGGGGAAUAUUGCACAAUGGGCGCAAGCCUGAUGCAGCCAUGCCGCGUGUAUGAAGAAGGCCUUCGGGUUGUAAAGUACGUUUCAGCAGUGAGGAAGGUGGGUAUGUUAAUAGCAUAUUCAUUUGACGUUAGCUGCAGAAGAAGCACCGGCUAACUCCGUGCCAGCAGCCGCGGUAAUACGGAGGGUGCGAGCGUUAAUCGGAAUUACUGGGCGUAAAGCGCAUGCAGGUGGUUUGUUAAGUCAGAUGUGAAAGCCCCGGGGCUCAACCUCGGAAUUGCAUUUGAAACUGGCAAACUAGAGUACUGUAGAGGGGGUAGAAUUUCAGGUGUAGCGGUGAAAUGCGUAGAGAUCUGAAGGAAUACCGGUGGCGAAGGCGGCCCCCUGGACAGAUACUGACACUCAGAUGCGAAAGCGUCGGGGAGCAAACAGGAUUAGAUACCCUGGUAG
rnacentral:rRNA from 1 species